GAAAUGCGAUAAGUAGUGUGAAUUGCAGAAUUCAGUGAAUCAUCGAAUCUUUGAACGCACAUUGCGCCCCUUGGUAUUCCAUGGGGCAUGCCUGUUCGAGCGUCAUUUGUACCCUCAAGCUCUGCUUGGUGUUGGGUGUUUGUCCCGUCUCCGCGCGUGGACUCCCCCCAAAGUGAUUGGCAGCCGGCGUACUGGUCCCGGAGCGCAGCACAUGUCGCGCAAACGAGUGCCUUGGUACGGCGGCGUCCAUAAGCCCCUCUCUCACGCUCUUGACCUCGGAUCAGGUAGGGAUACCCGCUGAACUUAAGC
rnacentral:misc_RNA from 1 species